rnacentral:rRNA from 1 species
UACAGAGGGUGCAAGCGUUAAUCGGAAUUACUGGGCGUAAAGCGUGCGUAGACGGUAGCGUAAGUCGGGUGUGAAAGCCCCGGGCUCAACCCCGGGCCUGCAGUGGAUACGGGCUGGCUAGAGGCAGGCAGGGGAGAACGGAAUUCCUGGUGUAGCGGUGAAAUGCGCAGAUAUCAGGAGGAACACCGGUGGCGAAGGCGGGUCUCUGGGCCGAUACUGACGCUGAGGAGCGAAAGCGUGGGGAGCGAACAGG